ensembl:lncRNA
CAUGCAUAUAUACAUGCAUACACACGUAUGCACACACACACGUGCGCACACACACGUGCACACACACGUCGAACAGCCAGGUCACCUACUCUACCUCCCCCCUGCAGGCCGUCACUGCCCCGGGUGCAGUCCUGUCCGCUCAGCCACCUCCCUGCUCCCAUGCUGCCCAUCUGCAGUGAGACAGUAGCCACUCCUGGGGGUCCCCCUGAACUUCCUGGAAAGGGGAGGGGCACCAGCACUCUGCAGUGAUGGCCACUUCCAGAGGGGUUUGCAGUUCUGAGAGGGAAGUGCUGGAUGCUGGGCCGCGCUCUCUGUCACAGCUCUGUAAUCGUGGCCAGGUGCCACCCAUCUCUGAGCCUCUGUUUCUCCUUCUGGGCAAUGCAGAUUCUGUCUUAGCACUCAAGAGGGCAGGCCGGCUACCUCUCACAUUAGAUGUCAGUUUGAUCAGCUCUCUCUGAGGCACCAGCCCAUCACCCAGCCCAUCACCUUUAGGACACACACACCAGGCACUGCAUAGACCUUUACCCCCGGGUGAUGCGGAUCCAGGCUUUUCCAGUGGCACAGGGAGAAAUUCACUACUUAAUCACAGGCUUCCCUGGUAGUCCAGGGGUUAAGAAUCCAUCUUGCAAUGCAAGAGGUCCCUGGUCCCAGAAGAUCCUUCAGGCCGAGGAGCUGCUUACCCCCAAGCACCACAACUAUCUGAGCCUGCGCUCAGAGCCCAAGGGCCAGAACGACUGAAGCCUUCCCACCCAGAGCCCAUGCCCUGCUGCAGGAGAGGAGACUGCACUGAGAAGCCUGCGCCCUGCAAUGAAGAGUAGCCCCUGCUCAAUGCAACUAGAGAAAACCUGCACAGAGCCACGAAGACCCAGCACAGCCAAAAAAAUAAAUAGAUCUUAAAAAUACUCAAUCCUGUGGCAUUCUGAUUAAAUGAGAUCACAAGAUGUAACUUUUGUUGGUCAAUUAAUAUAAAUGUAUGUAUGGUCUAUUGCUAGGGAUCGAUGUGCUUUAAAAGCUGGAGCGUCUCUGGGCUGCACGCUGUAUUACUCGGGAACUCCACAGGGCAGAGACGGCAAAGAUGACACGGGCGGUAAAGGCGGGCGCGCAUCCCCAGAUGCGUCCACUCACAGUCACUGGCCUCAGCCUAGGUUUCUACAGCUGACCUGUAGGGAGACCGGCGCUGUGCACAGACCGACACUGGCCACCGGGAGCCGUCAUCUCAGGACACCAGAGUGAUGGCCCCAGGACAGCAGUGUUCGUGGAGCACUUCCUGUGCAUCAGGCACCACGCAGAGUGUUGUUACCUCCUUCAGUCCCCCAGAGAGCUUUUUGAGAGCGACUCUGAGAGGACUGCCCCCAUCCUACCGGGGUCAUGGAAUCUAGAGAAGGCCUGGCUCGUCCCAUCACAGGUUUCCGAACGACAGAGCCCAGGGCCAACACAGCAUCUGGCUCCAGAGCCUCAGUCCCCAGGAGUCCUGGCUGUCCACUCACCACCACUGACACAGACCCUAAGAUGCGGGGUGAGGAGCUGUAGGUGGUGGUGCAGGAGGUUGGGGCCUGGCAUGGGUAGGUAUUCAAAUAAACGGCCUACUUUCCAUACUGUGUUCAGAGUUUUCUGAGCACAGUGGACUUUGAACCAUCC